CAAUGCUAAAUCACCACCCUUCUCAUUUAGGGAUAAUUUACAAAGAUUAAACAUACUUUUGUAAAACUUGAUCGUUGAAAAUUAAUUUUUAAAUAUGUUA